AGCAGCCGCGGUAAUUCCAGCUCCAAUAGCGUAUAUUAAAGUUGUUGCAGUUAAAAAGCUCGUAGUUGAAUUUUGGAUUCGGCCAAUUGGUCCAUCUUUUAGAUGAGUACUGGUUGUGUUGGGUCUAUCCGCCUGGUGAUACGUAAUGUCCUUUAUUGGAUGUUGCGGGUAGUCAGGACCUUUACCUUGAAAAAAUUAGAAGUGUUUAAAGCAGGCUUAUGCCGGAAUACAUUAGCAUGGAAUAAUAGAAUAGGACGAAGUUGUUCUAUUUUGUUGGUUUCUAGGACCACCGUAAUGAUUAAUAGGGAUAGUUGGGGGCAUUAGUAUUCGAAUUGUCAGAGGUGAAAUUCUUGGAUUUAUUGAAGACUAACUACUGCGAAAGCAUUUGCCAAGGAUGUUUUCAUUAAUCAAGAACGAAAGUUAGGGGAUCGAAGACGAAUCAGAUACCGUCGUAGUCUUAACCAUAAACUAUGCCGACUAGGAAUCAGACGAUGUUAAUUUUUAAUGACUCGUUUGGCAC
rnacentral:rRNA from 1 species